rnacentral:rRNA from 1 species
UCUUGUACACACCGCCCGUCAAACCAUGAGAGUUUGUAACACCCGAAGUCGGUGGGGUAACCGCAAGGAGCCAGCCGCCUAAGGUGGGACAGAUGAUUGGGGUGAAGUCGUAAACAAGGUACC